rnacentral:lncRNA from 1 species
AUUUUUUUACAGUGAAACUGUUUUUGUUCGGAUAAUAAAAUCCAAAACAAUAAAUGUUAAAAAUUUUUUAGCCAAACUCAAUAUAUCAAUACAAAAACAACCAAAAUUAAAAACAUCUGGUUGUCAGAUGUUGUUUACGAAUCGUUGAAGUGAAGCGCUGAAGUAGCCCAAAGUAGCCGCUAAUAUAUAAAAAGGAUUUAUACUUGAAAAAAAAAUCUAUUUUUGUUGAAGAAAAUAAACUUAAUUUCCAGUGCAAAUCCACAACGUUCUCAUUUAAAAAAUAUCAGUGUUCCAUCAUGCAACCUUCCUCAAACAUCAUUGGCAUCCGGUAAUCAACCAAAUGUAACUCAAGUUGAAAGCAGAAACGAAAGACAACGUCAAAGAUCAUUGAAAAAAAAAUUAUCUGUUAUCACUGAUGCAUCUGAAACUAUUUCUACAUCAACUCAAGAUGACAACAUAGAAGACGAUAAUUUGAGGAAUGAUGAUCAAUUAACUGUUGAAGUAACAUCAGAGGAUUUGCUGCUUGACAAGGUGUUUGAUGAUAAUGUAAGAAGACAAAAGAAUAACUUGCUUAUUAAAAAUUGUGAUGUUGCGAUUCAGGUUGAGAGUGAAUACUUGACUCCCAAAUUAUCAAGUAAAAUAAAAGCUGAUAAACAAUUAAGUACAUUAACUGGAUUAUCUAAUUUUCAAAUUUUAUUGGCAAUCGAGAAGUUAAUCAUCAAUAAUAUUAUACACACUAUCAGAACUGUUAUCCGUUUGUUGUAUGCCACAUUUAAUCAAAUGUCCCGCAUCAAGAAUACUUUCACCACCAAUAAAAUUUUUAUGACUCGGCUGAGUAUUAGCAAACUUACAAAUUUCUUCAAUUAAAACUUUCAUUAUUAAUAAAAAUUUUACUCAAAAUUCGAUUUUAAUGUGACUUAUAAGUACACGAUUCAACAUCAAUACAAGACAGCUGAUUUAAAAAUGCGUCUUAGAGUAGUAACCGCUUCUGCCGCAAGGAGAAGCCACGCCCCCGGCAGAUUUCCCAAUAGUAAAUU